rnacentral:lncRNA from 1 species
CAUUAUUAAUCUGCUAGCAAAGGAAAGUUAAACAUAACGAUAUGAACUGAAUUAACCAGUGCACACGACUAGGAAAAAACAAACAUCAUUUGUCAUCGAGUUUCUAAUUAAAUCAUGGCUGCAAGUGGGCAUCGUUAUUAUAAUAGUGAAGGUGAACGUGCUGCUACUUCCCUCAUUCCCAACAUGAAUCAAGUACCUGCAUUGAGUAAUGCAAGAGUGAGAUGAUACAUCUCAGCAAGCAAAUUGUUUUGACGAGAUAUUUAAACCACAAAUUGAAUUAAACAACAUUUUAAAGGAAUCACAAUUGAGAUCAGAAAUACUUGUAGAUAUAAAACUCAAUAGUCCCAAUAUAACCAAUACCAUCUCAUUUCCUCGAACAACCACAAUAGGUUGUAUAACCCUUCCCUGCGUCAACAAUACCUGCAGAUAUCACUUCAAUGUAUGCAUAGGAAUGCAAUGUGUAGGUCAUCUGCCCUCAUACCUCUGAGAGUAUAAAACCACAUCAUCUGCUAAUAUCACUUCAAUGAAUGCAUAUAAAUGCAAUGCAUAUGUCCUCUGCCUUCAUACCUCUAAGGGUAUGAAGCCGCAUCGUACCCCUCCUCGGGCAACGUACGAUGCUAAGUUGUACCGGUACGGUCGGACCAUAGGUCACGACCAAACUUCAGAUGCAAAUGAAUCAUGUAAUGCAUAUGGCAUGCUGCAUUUAUCAAUACACUUCACUUCCUUCAGAUACAAAACAAACCUCAAAUAAUACUUCAUCUGCCUUCAGAUACGAUACAGACCUCAAAUAAUACUUUAUCUGCCUUCACGGGUGUAAAUUAAUCUCAUGGGUCAUACUUGAACCAUAAUCAUCAUCAAUAUAUGAUUGAGCAUCAGUAUAAUACAAUCAAGUAAAGCAUCACCAUAGAGUUCAAUUAUGAAAGAAUUCCAUAAUUCUGAAUAUUAGAGUGUUGGCGAUAAAAAAACAACAAUUCAAAACGGUAGAAACCACUGCUACAUUCACUUGCCUUCAUCGAGGAAGAAAGAUGUACUAGGCAUGAUCCGGAGUGUAGCCACCUGCUAGCGGGCAUAAAACUUAGUACAAAUAUUUGACAAACAUUUGCCAACAAUCAACAAAUCGCUCCUACACUUGAAACCAAGACCCGGUGGAAAGACUCCCACCCUGAACCGCAUGCCAAACAACAACAACACUGUUUGUUAAUUUUAUAUCUUUAAAAUUAUAACAGUGGUGAUAUUAAACAAAUACUCUAGGAGUGUAUACACAAAAUACUCUACAACUUCAGUAUUCAAUGGAUAAUUAAAUUCUGCCAUCUAUAAGUUCUAAAACAUCUGAUAAGAUAAAUGUCUGAAUCUGUUUCAGACAGCAACAUAGUUAACUUCAAAAUUCAAUAUCUACCAAACUACUCAACCAAAAAUUAUGAAAUUCUGCUGGCAGUAAGAACUUUUAUCCCUCUAUAAAUGUCUCCAUAGUUGGAACAGCCAAUUCGGCUAUUUACUAUAUGAAACCCACCAGUGAACAGACCCGCUCAUUUUUGUCAGGCAAACAGAAACAUCCACAGUAAAACAAACAUAACUGGAGUUUCAUAAUUCAUAUGAAUGCGCUCUUUAACAAUCUGGAAAGCUUAUAAAAUUGUCUACAACUUCUUUUACAAUCCUAAAGUUUAAUUCUGUAGAUAAAAUUGCCUAAAUCUUAAGAGAACAGAUUCUGCACAGAAUUAUGAGACUGAAAAACUGCUAUAAUCAAACUGCAAUAACUUUCUGAUCUGAUGUCCGAUUGAGGUGUUCUUCGCGGCCACGGAAAGAUAUACAAAUUAUCUACGACUCAUAGACAGACGUUUUAUUUUUUUGAGGCCACUAAGAUCACGGAAAACUGGCAUGAACAGAAACUGUUGAAUCUGCCAUCCUGCAGAAACUAAUUUCGAGAUCAAAAUCUAAUCUCCCAUCUAAUCCAACCAAAAAAACUAAUUGCAGGGCCUAAAACUCAUCCAAAACAAGAGAAAGCAUUCAUCAAGUGGAGAAAAGAGAGAGACGAAAGGAAAUCCAACCAAUUCUUGGAGAGGAACGACGAUGAUGAGCGACGGUAUGCCCUUAUCUCCCCUCUCUUCUCUUCUUUUUUCUUCCUCUCAUCUCUUGGGGCAAGGCACAAAAG